rnacentral:lncRNA from 1 species
AUUCUGCUUCUGCACUAGAUCGAGCAACCACAUUCUGUUUCUUGCUCUUCCAGGACACCAAAUUUCCUCCUACUAAGACACAGUAUCCGGACGUAGAACGUCUAUCAGACGGUGAUCUUGCCCAAUCAGCAUCUGAGUAUCCAACGAUUUGCUCAUGACCGCGAUCCUCAAACAAUAAACCUUUGCCUGGAGCUGAUUUUAUGGACCGAAGAAUGCGAACAACUGCAUCCCAAUGACUAUUGCACGGAGAACCCAUAAACUGACUCACAACACUUACAGAAAAGGAAAUGUCAGGUCUUGUCACUGUAAGAUAAUUUAAUUUACCAACCAACCGUCUAUAUCUUGCAGGAUCGCUAAGCGGCUCCCAAAUGUCAGGUCUUGUCACUGUAAGAUAAUUUAAUUUACCAACCAACCGUCUAUAUCUUGCAGGAUCGCUAAGCAGCUCCCCCUGUCCUGACAGAAGUUUAGAAUUCGGAUCCAUCGGAGUGUCAACAGAUCUACAACCUGUCAUUCCUGUCUCCUCAAGAAUAUCUAAGGCAUACGUUCGUUGUGAGACCAUAAUACCUGAGCUAGAUUGAGCGACCUCAAUACUCAGAAAAUAUUUUAGUUUGCCCAGAUCCUUAGUUUGAAAAUGUUGAAAGAGAUGUUGCUUCAAUUUAGCAAUACCAUCCUGGUCAUUGUCGAUAAUAACAAUGUCGUCAACAUAGACCACCAGAUAAAAAUAGAGACUUGAAGCAGAAUGCCGAUAGAACAUAGAGUGAUCAGCUUCACUCUGAAUCAUGCUAAAUUCCUAGAUAACUGUGCUGAACUUACCAAACGAGGCUCGAUGAGACUGCUUUAGACCAUAAAGUGACCGGCAUAAGCGACAUACAAGACCACGAAACUCCCCCUGAGCAACAAACCUAGGUGGUUGCUCCAUAUAAACUUCAUC